GGGACCUAGCCAAGAUCUCCCUGCCACAGUGCCUUCUCACUGUUCAAGAGAUAGAGGUGAGGGGACUGAGCCAAGAUCUCCCUGCCACAGUGCCUUCUCACUCUUCUACAGAGAUAGAGACUGAUUUAGCAGGACAUGCUUAACCCUACAGAAAGUACAGGAUAGAUACAGUUGGCCACAGAAUCACAAAAACUGUUCGGAUCUGUGCGUUCUGCUCUCGGAUGCAGAAGUAGAACACAGGUACAUCUGUGCCAUCCACUGUGGUGUAUCAACACUGGAGCCUGUCUGCAGCUCACUGCUGUCAUCACACCCACCGCUCUCCUACCAGUGGAGGUAAGGCAUGCCAGGCAACUUCCUCA